AUUAGGGGUAGGGGUGGGGGUGAAUUACAUGUACACAGCCAAUUUAUCACUUAAGAUUUUUCAGUUUGGCAUAUUUGAGUUGUAUUCGUGUGCUUGCUGCAUCUGAUAUGUAGUAACGAAAGUUAAGUUUCACAUGUGGUACCGUGUCAAGAGCAGCAGGUCAUUGUUAUGGCUUUUUCUCCUUGCAAGAGCAAACAGAUUACCGGUAUGUAUGAAAAAUGAGAUUUAACCUUUUAGCAGCAUGUCGAAUUCUCAAGAAAAUCUGUAUUUUGUCAGUCAUGUUUUAUUGUGAUGUUUUUUUUAGGAGAUAAUGUGGCCUGGAGUUUUCCUUCCAUCGUUUGCACUUUCGCAGUGGUUUGUAACUGGUAGUUUUUACACCAAGCAUCUUCUCUUCUGCAUUAAUACUAUGAGCCAGCUGUAAAUUGAUCAGAUAAUUUUAACGAUUAAAAUGAUCCAAAUCCCUGGAA